rnacentral:lncRNA from 1 species
GGAAGAUCAGUCUGGGCUGAUUACCAAGGAGAUCUCGGAACUUCUGGCCAAACGGCAAUACAAGAAGUCCCAUAUGAUCAUCCGGGAUUUCUAAGCAACCUGUUCCUCGUCGCCAAGAAAGGUGGAGGUGUUCGGCCGGUGAUCAAUCUCAAGCGACUCAACGGAUUCCUUUGUUACCAUCACUUCAAGAUGGAGGGCAUACAUUGCCUCAGAGAUCUGCUUCGGCAAGGGGAUUGGAUGGUCAAGCUAGACCUCAAGGACGCAUACCUGACUAUACCUAUGGCAGAGGUACACUGGGACUUAUUGCACUUUACGUGGCAAGGACGUCGGUGGAGGUUUACCUGUCUGCC